GGUCCCCUAGUCUAAAAGGUCAGGACACCGGCCUUUCAAGCCGGAGAUAUUGGGUUCAAGUCCCAUGGGGAUCA
rnacentral:tRNA from 1 species